GACGCAUUCACUGACUGUGCGUGAGCGUGGCGGGGUGCAGAGGUGCGUGAAGGAGUGUUGCACCACCCGUAGCAGCUUCAUAUUACUAAGGUGCCUCCUUACUAUCUAUAGACUGACUAAUCACCAUCUUGACUACCACCACAGCAACCACUAUUACUACUACAACUACCACCACCACCAACAUUGCUCGCCAUAACAAUUUGUCUGCCACAACCACAAGUGUGUCCUACCACAAUUUAAAUGCGAUACUUAUGACCACUGUGGUGACGGUAGUGAUGAAAUGGAUUGUGGUAGUAGUAAUGGUGGUGGUGGUAUUGUUGUUGUUGUUGGUGGUGGUGGUGGUGGUGGUGAUGGUGGUGGUGUAUGGAAAGUCAUGCUGGUAGGCGAAAAACAUGACUACAGUGGAAAUGUUAUGAUUCGCAUCAUCAGCAACAACAACAACAACAACAACAACAACAACAACAAUGAUGGCAGUAGUAGCAGUAGUAGUGAAUGGUCAUACAUAUAUGAUGACUAUUUUGACUAUCAGGAGGCCGAUGUUGUGUGUCGGACUAUCGGUCUAAAAGGAGCCGUAAAAUUUACUAGGAAUAACUAUUUCGGUGAUAGUAAUAGUGUUCUACAAGGCAGCAUCAACCUCCUGACAGUCCUUCAUACAUCUGUCACCACUUGUGCGUACAUUUCUCUACCUAUAACGCUAUCUCCUACACCUCUCCCAGUUGGAUAGCCACGAUGGGCAAUUCUACAAGGCAGCAUAAACUUCAUGAAGGUAUGUCGUGGUGGAAGAGUUGGUAGCCCUGCACAUGGCCAUCCGAGAAUUACGUCACAGGUGGGCACAAGUCGCAGUCAUUCGCCGGCGCCUCCCUGCAGUCUUAGGUAGCAGCGGCGAUGCGUAGUGCUGUUGCUUUGUACUGAGUGAGUGUGAAAGAACGCUCGUGACAAUAUAUGGUGAUGGACGUGUGGGCCUUUAUGUUGUGGAAACAGAAGUUGAGGGGCGGGGAACACUUAAUGGGUGGAUGACCAUCAUCAGGACCGCCAUUCCACCGCAUUCAUGGCCACCCUACCCGUGCUCAUCCAGUCACGUCCCCAUAGUGCAGCGCCCCUCAUCUGUAUGUAUGCUGAAGAGACACGGAAAAAUGAACACUCGUGUCUCUGUGAAAUAUUGUGCGCCAUAAAGUCUCUUGUCCUCUA